AAUCUGCUCAAACAGUGCUGAGCGGGAAGCAGACUCAUCUGAGCCUGAACUGGUGGUAUGGAACUCCUUAAUGUAAGCCUGUAGCUCUGUCCAUAUACUCACAUAAGCUUUGACCCAAUCCACAUGCUUCUUAUCAACAUCUUUGUACUCCUUGAGGACUCGGUUUGUGUAAAACAGGGCAGCAUCAUUCAUUUUUUCACAUAAAGACCAGGCUUGGAAGCCAUAGCCACCCAACCCAGGGCCUGGAUACUUUCGCUGUAACCAAGAGAGCUCGCUCCAACUUCAGACCUGUGUGGACCAUCUCCGCAUGUUUCUGCACGUCUCCCCCAGUCUCUUUAUUGACCUUCAGGUACUCGGCCACAAGACCAGCAAGGAGUGAGGCAAAUGCUUGCACACAUGGAGCUGCUUCUGCUUUUGGAGCACUGUCUCCAUACCCACAGUGCGUGUCAGAGGCAUGGGAUACUGCCUCCAGGAGGCCCAGUGCCCUCUCCAAUCUUUCCACCGGAUUUUGCAUAUCAGCCAUAAUGUACCACCUCCCGACUGCGAUCAGCUGCUCUCCACUUCCGGCAAGAACCUGUCUUUUUUUUUUUUUAAAGAUUUUAUUUAUUUAUUUAUUUAUUUUAGAGGAGGGGAGGGGAAGAGGCAGAGAGAAUCUUAAGCAGACUCUACACUGAGUGCAGAGCCUGACACAGGCUCCAUCUCAUGACCCUGAGAUCACAACCUUGAGAUCACAACCUGAGCUGAAACCAAGAGUCAGACACUUAACCAACAGCAUUACCCAGGCACCCCAAAACUGCCAGCAUCUAAGGGUAAUCUAAUAAAUGUUUUGAACAAUGAAUAAAUUCCACCAUGCAGAUUUUCAAAAGUAUUUUUCUUUGCAGCUUAUUCCCUAAGCAGUUAUACUAUGUUAUUUAUUGGAAUUGGAAUUUCUGUCUAGAUAAAAAUUUGUAAUGUAUAAAAUAAUCUAUAAAUGUAAACACAUAAACUUAAUAAGUAUAUUAAAAUAAAUUUGUCUUUUUGAAAUUGCAUCUUUCUGAUAUACAAUAAGUUUUUUCCACUCUCUUCUUAUCACUGACAUUUCUGUUGUCUCUAGAUUUUUUUUCUAUUAUAAAUACAUUGUGGUAAACAUCUGUUUUUUUUUCAAACAAAAGUGAGUUUAUUUACAAAAAUUACAAUAAUUACAGAUAGUAGAAAUUGAGACAAUUUCCCCUGUUACUGUGACAGAAGCUGCCAGCCUUCACUUUAAAAUGAGGAUUUGGGGGAUCCUUGGGUGGCUCAGCAGUUCAGUGCCUGCUUCAGCCCAGGGUGUGAUCCGGCAGGUCCGGGAUCAGGUCUCGCAUCGAGAUCCCUGCGUGGAGCCUGCUUGUCCCUCUGCCUGUGUCUCUGCCUCACUCUCUUAGUGUCUCUCAUGAAUAAAUAAAUAAAAUCUUUAAAAAAAUGAAGGUUUUGUUAUUUUGAGAUAUGAUACACAUGUGGUGAACAUCUUUGUACAUAAACCUGUGAGAGGAUCUCCUAAUAUUUUCUUGGAGAGCAUGCCUAGGAAAGAGAUCUAAAGGUUAUGAACACUUAAAAUACUUGAUUUAAAUUACCAAAUUGUUUUCAGAAAGACUAUAUAUUUUAUAAUUCUACCAAUAAUGUUUUAGCAUGCCAAAUUCACCACAUCUUUAUUGAUACGGAGUCUUGAUACAUUUUAAGAAGCUG
rnacentral:lncRNA from 1 species